rnacentral:piRNA from 1 species
UAAUGGGCAACCUGAUAGAAACCUCCAUU